UUUCAAACCUGAAAGCUGUUGUCAUAGUUCUUGGCGUCCUGUUGGCUUGCUGUGUGACUGUGAUCAUCUUCCUUAUUUUCUACAUGAAUCAAAGGAGAGUUAAAGAAGCAACAAGUGUCGCCUGUAAUCCUGCACAAACCCAGUGGACAGCAGAUCAAUCAGCUAAUCAGGACGGAGACGGAGAAGUCAGUAAUUAUGCGGCAGUGAAUCUUUCCACAAGACAAGUGAACAGAGUGAAGAAAAGAGAGCCUUCACAGGACUGUGUGUACUCCGCUGUGCGAGUGAACCACAACACACAACUCCACCUGUAGAGCAGCUUUGAAUGUUUAAAACUAAUGAUGUGAACUUCAUACUGUCAUUUGAAAUUAAACCCUGUUGGUCAAGUUCUACUUGUGACACAUGUUAACGCGCUGGAACGUGACUGGUUUUACAAGUUUUACAAAUGCAUUGAACACGACAGAGAAAAGGGUUAUUUCCUUCUCAAGCAGUUUCUAAAUUGCUGCUUUUAUUGCCAUUAUUGUAUUUUAUUAAGUUGUCCAAAUUUUAAUUCUACUUUUUUACAUCUACGU